GAUGAACGCUGGCGGCGUGCCUAAUACAUGCAAGUCGAGCGAACAGAUGAGGAUCUUGCUCCUCUGACGUUAGCGGCGGACGGGUGAGUAGCACGUGGAUAACCUACCUAUAAUACUGGUAUAACUUCGGGAAACCGGCUCUAAUACCGGAUAAUAUAUUGCACCGCAUUGUUCAAUAGUGAAAGACGGUUUUGCUGUCACUUAUAGAUGGAUCCGCGCCGCAUUAGCUAGUUGGUAAGGUAACGGCUUACCAAGGCAACGAUGCGUAGCCGACCUGAGAGGGUGAUCGGCCACACUGGAACUGAGACACGGUCCAGACUCCUAAGGGAGGCAGCAGUAGGGAAUCUUACGCAAUAGGCGAAAGCCUGACGGAGCAACGCCGCGUGAGAGAUGAAGGUCUUCGGAUCGUAAAACUCUGUUAUUAGGGAAGAACAAAUGUGUAAGUAAAUAUGCACGUAUUGACGGUACCUAAUCAGAAAGCCACGGCUAACUACGUG
rnacentral:rRNA from 1 species